UGGCCUUGACAUACUAAGAACUUUCCAGAGAUGGAUUGGUGCCUUCGGGAACUUAGAUACAGGUGCUGCAUGGCUGUCGUCAGCUCGUGUCGUGAGAUGUUGGGUUAAGUCCCCGCAACGAGCGCAACCCUUUUCCUUAUUGCCAGCGGGUUAAGCCGGGAACUUUAAGGAUACUGCCAGUGACAAACUGGAGGAAGGCGGGGACGACGUCAAGUCAUCAUGGCCCUUACGGCCAGGGCUACACACGUGCUACAAUGGUCGGUACAAAGGGUUGCUACCUCGCGAGAGGAUGCUAAUCUCAAAAAGCCGAUCGUAGUCCGGAUCGCAGUCUGCAACUCGACUGCGUGAAGUCGGAAUCGCUAGUAAUCGCGGAUCAGAAUGCCGCGGUGAAUACGUUCCCGGGCCUUGUACACACCGCCCGUCACACCAUGGGAGUUUGUUGCACCAGAAGUAGGUAGUCUAACCGCAAGGAGGACGCUUACCACGGUGUGGCCGAUGACUGGGGUGAAGUCGUAACAAGGUAGGCGUAGAUGA
rnacentral:rRNA from 1 species